rnacentral:rRNA from 1 species
ACACUCCUACGGGAGGCAGCAGUGGGGAAUAUUGGACAAUGGGCGCAAGCCUGAUCCAGCCAUGCCGCGUGAGUGAUGAAGGCCCUAGGGUUGUAAAGCUCUUUCACCGGUGAAGAUAAUGACGGUAACCGGAGAAGAAGCCCCGGCUAACUUCGUGCCAGCAGCCGCGGUAAUACGAAGGGGGCUAGCGUUGUUCGGAUUUACUGGGCGUAAAGCGCACGUAGGCGGACUAUUAAGUCAGGGGUGAAAUCCCGGGGCUCAACCCCGGAACUGCCUUUGAUACUGGUAGUCUUGAGUUCGAGAGAGGUGAGUGGAAUUCCGAGUGUAGAGGUGAAAUUCGUAGAUAUUCGGAGGAACACCAGUGGCGAAGGCGGCUCACUGGCUCGAUACUGACGCUGAGGUGCGAAAGCGUGGGGAGCAAACAGGAUUAGAAACCCGGGUAGUCC